GACGAACGCUGGCGGCGUGCUUAACACAUGCAAGUCGAACGGAAAGGCCCUGCUUUUGUGGGGUGCUCGAGUGGCGAACGGGUGAGUAACACGUGAGUAACCUGCCCUUGACUUUGGGAUAACUUCAGGAAACUGGGGCUAAUACCGGAUAGGAGCUCCUGCCGCAUGGUGGGGGUUGGAAAGUUUCGGCGGUUGGGGAUGGACUCGCGGCUUAUCAGCUUGUUGGUGGGGUAGUGGCUUACCAAGGCUUUGACGGGUAGCCGGCCUGAGAGGGUGACCGGCCACAUUGGGACUGAGAUACGGCCCAGACUCCUACGGGAGGCAGCAGUGGGGAAUAUUGCACAAUGGGCGGAAGCCUGAUGCAGCAACGCCGCGUGCGGGAUGACGGCCUUCGGGUUGUAAACCGCUUUCGCCUGUGACGAAGCGUGAGUGACGGUAAUGGGUAAAGAAGCACCGACUAACUACGUG
rnacentral:rRNA from 1 species